AGAGUUUGAUCCUGGCUCAGAAUGAACGUUGGCGGCGUGGAUUAGGCAUGCAAGUCGAGCGAGAACCCCGCAAGGGGGGACAGCGGCGCAAGGGACAGUAAUGUGUAGAUCAUCUGCCCUCAGGUCCGGGAUAGCUGCGGGAAACUGCAGGUAAUACCGGAUAACAUCUCCGGAUCAAAGGUGUGAUUCCGCCUGAGGAUGAGUCUGCAUCCUAUUAGCUAGUUGGUAGGGUAACGGCCUACCAAGGCUUUGAUGGGUAGCGGGUGUGAGAGCACGACCCGCGUCAUUGGGACUGAGACACUGCCCAGACACCUACGGGUGGCUGCAGUCGAGAAUCUUCGGCAAUGGGCGCAAGCCUGACCGAGCGACGCCGCGUGUGGGAUGAAGGCCUUCGGGUUGUAAA
rnacentral:rRNA from 1 species